AGCACAUGGAAGCAACCUAGAUGUCCAUCAGCAGAUGAAUGGAUAAGCAAGCUGUGGUGUGAUCGGACAGCCAGUUUGCUUGAGAUCCUGCAUGAAAUGCUUUUUGUGAUGUAAAUAUUGACAUAUUGAGGACUAAAUACCAAGAAGACCACUGAAAUCUAGGAAUUUCAGCUGUAAUAUACAUGUUUGUGAUUUCAGGUUACAUUGAGUUAGCCUUUCCCCUUCUUUAACUUGAAAUAUAAAGUCCUUUUCUGAAACAUC